UAGAUUCCUUCAGUACCAGACACCACGGGUGCUAAAUUCUUUGACAUGCGUGAGUAAAAGGGCAUUCCUGGAUACUACAGCCUCGAAGGAAACUGCACUGAGACCCAAAAUGGCAGGUUUGGUCCAAGGUUCAUACGUUCCUGACCAAAGUUAAAGGCUUCAGCCUCUCAGUGGCAAACAGAGCCAAGAAGCACUGGGCUGGUGGGGCGGGGAGGAAAAAAAAGAACAGCCGCUGGCAUCCUGACAGCUGAGAACACGGCUCAGGAAAUGAAGACACCCCAGGAAGCUCCAGUGUUUCCCUAAAUGCGCAAAGUUGGCGUUCUCUGCUUUUAAGUAACUUCUAUUGGUGUCUGUGCUGCUUACGAAAUAAAGACGUUGAAUUUAUAAACUUUGAAAAACCACUCGUCCGGGAUCACAGCUUCGUCUGCCAACAAAGGAGGCUACCAGGUUCACGGCGGGCAGCUCCAUCUCGACCAAGCUGGAGGGAACCUGCGCGACAACCGCGGGGGCUCCUGGUCUACGAACUCGGGAAACAAACUUGCCCGGCUCCGCCCCGCCCGCGGCCCCGGCUCCAACCCCCCGGGGGGGAUGGGCACGUGGGUUGGGUCACGUGACUGUUGCCCGGUUGCUAGGCGACGGCGUCCGGCUGCUAGCGCCUUAGUCCCGCAACUGCCCAGGUAGUUGCCGGCACCAAUGGAGAACAUCCAGAUUUGCGUCGCAAAGGGCACAAUAUCUCGCCGAGUUGAAGUUCCUGCAAGUGGGCUGAUGGGAGAACUUGGGAGAACGUCCAGGUACAAACCGCAGAUGCGGCAACAGCUGUGUCUCAUCCCAGAGGGCACCCUCUCUCCUCCCUCCUUCUCCGGUGAAAGUGGAGACAGUUGCGGACCUCAGAGGAUCCUUGUGAGGAUAAAUGAACUAAUUCAUGUUGAAGAAAAAAUGAUUCUGACACUUGCUAAAAUGGAGGGGAGAGACCACGUGGAAACUUGAAAAACUGCCUGGGUGGGUCCUGAGAUCAUAUCAAGACACAUACUCUCUCCAGAUACAAAGAAGGACUUUUCU